AUUGAACGCUGGCGGCAGGCCUAACACAUGCAAGUCGAACGAGUCGCGGACGGGUGAGUAAGGUAUGGGACACUGCCUGGUGGAGGGGGAUAACUACUGGACACGGAUGCUAAUACCGCAUACCAUCGGAUGUGCCCAUCUUGGAUUAGCGAGUUGGUGGGGUAAAGGCUCACCAAGGCGACGAUCCCUAGCUGGUCUGAGAGGAUGAUCAGCCACACUGGAAAUGAGACACGGUCCAGACUCCUACGGGAGGCAGCAGUGGGGAAUAUUGCACAAUGGGCGCAAGCCUGAUGCAGCCAUGCCGCGUGUAUGAAGAAGGCCUUCGGGUUGUAAAGUACUUUCAGCGGGGAGGCGUUACCCGCAGAAGAAGCACCGGCUAACUCCGUGCCAGCAGCCGCGGUAAUUC
rnacentral:rRNA from 1 species